rnacentral:rRNA from 1 species
GAUGAACGCUGACAGAAUGCUUAACACAUGCAAGUCAACUGUGGCGGACGGGUGAGUAACGCGUAAAGAACUUGCCUCCCAGCUAGGGACAACAUUUGGAAACGAAUGCUAAUACCUGAUACUGUGAGAGAGCUUUGAGUCCCAUUAGCUCGUUGGAGAGGUAACGGCUCACCAAGGCGAUGAUGGGUAGCCGGCCUGUGCGUGUGAUCGGCCACAAGGGGACUGAGAGACGGCCCGUACUCCUACGGGAGGCAGCAGUGGGGAAUAUUGGACAAUGGACCAAAGUCUGAUACAGCAAUUCUGUGUGCACGAUGAAGUUUUCGGAAUGUAAAGUGCUUUCAGUUGGGAAGCGGUACCAACAGAAGAAGUGACGGCUAAAUACGUGCCAGCAGCCGCGGUAAUUC